rnacentral:rRNA from 1 species
UACGAAGGGGGCUAGCGUUGUUCGGAAUUACUGGGCGUAAAGCGCGCGCAGGCGGUUUUUCAAGUCAGUGGUGAAAGCCCGGAGCUCAACUCCGGAACUGCCAUUGAAACUGUGAAACUUGAGGAUGAGAGAGGUGAGUGGAAUUCCCAGUGUAGAGGUGAAAUUCGUAGAUAUUGGGAAGAACACCGGUGGCGAAGGCGGCUCUCUGGACCGAGACUUGACGCUGACGGCGCGAA